GACGAACGCUGGCGGCGUGCCUAAUACAUGCAAGUCGAGCGAAGUUUUUCUGGUGCUUGCACCGGAAAAACUUAGCGGCGAACGGGUGAGUAACACGUAAAGAACCUGCCUCAUAGACUGGGACAACUAUUGGAAACGAUAGCUAAUAACGGAUAACAGCAUUAACUGCAUGGUUGAUGUUUAAAAGUUGGUUUUGCUAACACUAUGAGAUGGCUUUGCGGUGCAUUAGCUAGUUGGUGGGGUAAAGGCCUACCAAGGCGACGAUGGAUAGCCGACCUGAGAGGGUGAUCGGCCACACUGGGACUGGGACGCGGCCCAGACUCCUACGGGAGGCAGCAGUAGGGAAUCGUCCGCAAUGGGCGAAAGCCUGACGGAGCAACGCCGCGUGAGUGAAGAAGGAUUUCGGUUCGUAAAGCUCUGUUGUUAGUGAAGAAUGAUUGUGUAGUAACUAUACACAGUAGAGACGGUACCUAACCAGAAAGCCACGGCUAACUACGUG
rnacentral:rRNA from 1 species